GCACGCCUAACACAUGCAAGUCGAACGAAGUAGCAAUACUUAGUGGCAGACGGGUGAGUAACAUGUGGGUAUCUACCCUUUGGCCUGGAAUAACACGAGGAAACUUGUGCUAAUACCGGAUAAGUCUUUACGGAGAAAGCUUUAUGCACCAUUGGAUGAGCCUGCACUUGAUUAGUUUGUUGGUGGGGUAAUGGCCUACCAAGACUAUGAUCAAUAGCUGAUUUGAGAGGAUGAUCAGCCACAUUGGGACUGAGACACGGCCCAAACUCCUACGGGAGGCAGCAGUGGGGAAUCUUGCACAAUGGAGGAAACUCUGAUGCAGCGAUGCCGCGUGAGUGAAGAAGGCCCUUGGGUUGUAAAGCUCUUUCGUCGGGGAAGAAAAUGACUGUACCCGAAUAAGAAGGUCCGGCUA
rnacentral:rRNA from 1 species